UUCCCUAUUUCCCAAGUUUCUGGUCUGCGCGCCAAAUACAGAAAAGUGUAGGGUCUGAUCUACAAAACCUCUCUAGACUAAGAUUGCCUUGCUGGAGGACGGCAGGUUGAUUUGGUUAAAGUCAGGGGUUUCUUUUGUAAAACACACAUGCUGAAGGGGGGUAUCGGCCGUUCAUAGCCGUUGGAUGAAACGUUGAUGGUUCAGAUUUGAUAAGACGAAGGGGUAAGUUGGUUCUAAUUUCAGCCGCCCCGCCGGAUAGAGGAACAAUCAUGGGCGAGUCUCAGGGGCGGUGGCCCGCGACGACGUUGCAUCGAACGACGACGACUGCACCCCGCCAAAACACCGUCAGCCGCCCCAGCGACUUGCUUCUUCUCCCUGCGCGAACACGGCACGGUGGGACGAGCGGUGAGCCCCAGCGUCAACAGCCAGCGCCGGAUCCUAGAGCGCCAUCCGCCCCGCAUAUUCCCAGACGGCGGCCAUGCCAGAGCUUUCCCCCAUGGCCGGCAUGCUGUUGACGACGAACGAAGGAGUUGCUCUGAUCUGGUGACCCUAGCUCUAAAUUUUCUCGUACG
rnacentral:lncRNA from 7 species